rnacentral:rRNA from 1 species
AAGGAACAAUUGGGGUGAUUCAGAAAAUAACGGGAGAGGUGAAAAUCCAUGAUCGCUAUAAGAUGCACGAGAGCGAAAGCAUUUCACUCAACUGUGUCCAUUAAUCAAGAACGAAAGUUAGGGGAUCGAAGACGAUCAGAUACCGUCGUAGUCCUAACUAUAAACGAUGUCAACCAAGGAUUGGAUGAAAUUCAGAUGUACAAAGAUGAAGAAGCAUUGUUUCUUAAUCUGAGUAUAUCAAUAUUACCUUGUUCAGAACUUAAAGAGAAAUCUUGAGUUUAUGGACUUCAGGGGGAGUAUGGUCACAAGGCUGAAACUUAAAGGAAUUGACGGAAGGGCACACCAGGAGUGGAGCCUGCGGCUUAAUUUGACUCAACACGGGAAAACUUACCAAGACCGAACAGUAGAAGGAAUGACAGAUUAAGA